rnacentral:rRNA from 1 species
GACGAGGGGUCCAAGCGUUGUUCGGAAUCAUUGGGCGUAAAGCGGGUGUAGGUGGCUCUGUAAGUCAGGAGUGAAAGCCCCGAGCUUAACUCGGGAAGUGCUUUUGAUACUGCAGAGCUUGAGUUGUGGGAGAGGAUCGUGGAAUUCCAGGUGUAGUGGUGAAAUACGUAGAUAUCAGGUGGAACACCAGUGGCGAAGGCGGCUUUCUGGACGGUAACUGACGCUGAGACGCGAAAGCGUGGGGAGCAAAACAGG